UACAGAGGUCCCAAGCGUUGUUCGGAUUCACUGGGCGUAAAGGGUGCGUAGGUGGUGAGGUAAGUCGGAUGUGAAAUCUCCGAGCUCAACUCGGAAAUGGCAUUGGAAACUGCCUUGCUAGAGGAUCGGAGGGGGGACUGGAAUACUUGGUGUAGCAGUGAAAUGCGUAGAUAUCAAGUGGAACACCAGUGGCGAAGGCGAGUCCCUGGACGAUACCUGACACUGAGGCACGAAAGCUAGGGGAGCAAACAGG
rnacentral:rRNA from 1 species